rnacentral:rRNA from 1 species
GGGGAAUAUUGCGCAAUGGGGGCAACCCUGACGCAGCCAUGCCGCGUGAAUGAAGAAGGCCUUCGGGUUGUAAAGUUCUUUCGGUAGCGAGGAAGGCAUUUAGUUUAAUAAACUAGGUGAUUGACGUUAACUACAGAAGAAGCACCGGCUAACUCCGUGCCAGCAGCCGCGGUAAUACGGAGGGUGCGAGCGUUAAUCGGAAUAACUGGGCGUAAAGGGCACGCAGGCGGUGACUUAAGUGAGGUGUGAAAGCCCCGGGCUUAACCUGGGAAUUGCAUUUCAUACUGGGUCGCUAGAGUACUUUAGGGAGGGGUAGAAUUCCACGUGUAGCGGUGAAAUGCGUAGAGAUGUGGAGGAAUACCGAAGGCGAAGGCAGCCCCUUGGGAAUGUACUGACGCUCAUGUGCGAAAGCGUGGGGAGCAAACAGGAUUAGAUACCCUGGUAGUCCACGCUGUAAACGAUGUCGAUUUGGGGGUUGAGCUUUGAGCUUGGCGCCCGUAGCUAACGUGAUAAAUCGACCGCCUGGGGAGUACGGCCGCAAGGCUA